UGGGGAAUUUUGGACAAUGGGGGAAACCCUGAUCCAGCCAUCCCGCGUGUGCGAUGAAGGCCUUCGGGUUGUAAAGCACUUUUGGCAGGAAAGAAACGUCAUGGGUUAAUACCCCGUGAAACUGACGGUACCUGCAGAAUAAGCACCGGCUAACUACGUGCCAGCAGCCGCGGUAAUACGUAGGGUGCAAGCGUUAAUCGGAAUUACUGGGCGUAAAGCGUGCGCAGGCGGUUCGGAAAGAAAGAUGUGAAAUCCCAGAGCUCAACUUUGGAACUGCAUUUUUAACUACCGGGCUAGAGUGUGUCAGAGGGAGGUGGAAUUCCGCGUGUAGCAGUGAAAUGCGUAGAUAUGCGGAGGAACACCGAUGGCGAAGGCAGCCUCCUGGGAUAACACUGACGCUCAUCCACGAAAGCGUGGGGAGCAAACAGG
rnacentral:rRNA from 1 species